UACGGGGGGUGCGAGCGUUAAUCGGACUUACUGGGCGUAAAGGGCGCGUAGGUGGAUAGAUAAGUCAGAUGUGAAAACCCUGGGCUCAACCUAGGACGUGCAUAUGAUAUUGUUUAUCUAGAGUAUGGUAGAGGGAAGAGGAAUUUCCGGUGUAGCGGUGAAAUGCGUAGAUAUCGGAAGGAACAUCAGUGGCGAAGGCGUCUUCCUGGGCCGAUACUGACACUGAGGCGCGAAAGCGUGGGUAGCGAACAGG
rnacentral:rRNA from 1 species